AUGAACGCUGGCGGCGUGCCUAACACAUGCAGGUCGAACGGAGUCCAGCCUUUAAGACCUUCGGGUCAAAGAGGGGAAGACUGAGUGGCGGACGGGUGAGUAACACGUGGGCAACCUGGCUCAUAGAGGGGGAUAACAGAGAGAAAUUUCUGCUAAUACCGCAUAAGCACACACUGCCGCAUGGCAGAGGGUGAAAAGAGAAUCGCUAUGAGAUGGACCCGCGUCUGAUUAGCCAGUUGGCAGGGUAAGAGCCUACCAAAGCGACGAUCAGUAGCCGAUCUGAGAGGAUGAACGGCCACAUUGGGACUGAGACACGGCCCAAACUCCUACGGGAGGCAGCAGUGGGGGAUAUUGCACAAUGGGGGGAACCCUGAUGCAGCGACGCCGCGUGAGUGAAGAAGUAUUUCGGUAUGUAAAGCUCUAUCAGCAGGGAAGAUAAUGACAGUACCUGAAUAAGAAGCCCCGGCUAACUACGUG
rnacentral:rRNA from 1 species